AGUGAACGCUGGCGGUAGGCCUAACACAUGCAAGUCGAACGGCAGCACAGUAAGAGCUUGCUCUUACGGGUGGCGAGUGGCGGACGGGUGAGGAAUACAUCGGAAUCUACUUUUUCGGGGGGGAUAACGUAGGGAAACUUACGCUAAUACCGCAUACGACCUACGGGUGAAAGCAGGGGAUCUUCGGACCUUGCGCGAUUGAAUGAGCAGAUGUCGGAUUAGCUAGUUGGCGGGGUAAAGGCCCACCAAGGCGACGAUCCGUAGCUGGUCUGAGAGGAUGAUCAGCCACACUGGAACUGAGACACGGUCCAGACUCCUACGGGAGGCAGCAGUGGGGAAUAUUGGACAAAGGGCGCAAGCCUGAUCCAGCCAUACCGCGUGGGUGAAGAAGGCCUUCGGGUUGUAAAGCCCUUUUGUUGGGAAAGAAAAGCAGCAGGUUAAUACCCCGCUGUUCUGACGGUACCCAAAGAAUAAGCACCGGCUAACUUCGUG
rnacentral:rRNA from 1 species